UACGUAGGUGGCGAGCGUUGUCCGGAAUUACUGGGUGUAAAGGGCGUGUAGGCGGGUCUGUAAGUCAGGUGUGAAAUUCAAGGGCUUAACCCUUGAACUGCAUUUGAGACUGCGGAUCUUGAGUGAUGGAGAGGUAAGUGGAAUUCCUAGUGUAGCGGUGAAAUGCGUAGAUAUUAGGAGGAACACCAGUGGCGAAGGCGACUUACUGGACAUUAACUGACGCUGAGGCGCGAAAGCGUGGGGAGCAAACAGG
rnacentral:rRNA from 1 species